rnacentral:rRNA from 1 species
UACGUAGGGUGCAAGCGUUUGUCCGGAAUUAUUGGGCGUAAAGAGCUCGUAGGCGGUUUGUCGCGUCUGCUGUGAAAACUCGGGGCUUAACCCCGGGCCUGCAGUGGGUACGGGCAGACUAGAGUGCGGUAGGGGAGACUGGAAUUCCUGGUGUAGCGGUGAAAUGCGCAGAUAUCAGGAGGAACACCGGUGGCGAAGGCGGGUCUCUGGGCCGUAACUGACGCUGAGGAGCGAAAAGCAUGGGGGAGCGAACAGG